rnacentral:lncRNA from 1 species
GUGUGUGUGUGUGUAUUUAUUUUUAACUUAAUAAACUCUUGGAUAAAUGAUAUAUAGAUCUAACAAUAGGGUGGUCUUACGCUCCAAAAGCCUGAAUAACAAUGCUUUUUUUUUUCUGUUUGUUUUUUAGGAUUGCUGUUGUUUGUUUUUGAGACAGGAUUCAGGAUCUCAUCAUGUAGUUGGUCUGGAACUUCUUUAUUUUACUUAUGUGCAUUGAUAGUUUGCCUGCAUGUAUGUCUCAGAGAGGGUGCUUGAUCCCCUGGAAUUAGGGUUGUAGACAGUUGUAAUCUGUCAUGUGGGUGCUGGGAAUUGAACCCAGGUCCUCUGAGUGCUCUUAACCUCUGAGCCAUCUCUCCAGCCCAGACCUGUAACUUUCUAUGUAGACCAUGUUGACCCUGGAAUUCUGGCUGUGUUACUGCCUCUGCCUGCCGAGUGCUGGGAUGACAGCAGUGUGUCCCCUCACCUGGCCUUUGAAUCAGCAACAACCGAGAAGUGGCCGUAGAGGAGGUUUGUCGCCAACGCCAAGGACCGCAGCACCGGACCGGAUCUCCAGC